UAGGGAAUAUUAGAAAUGGACGAAAGUCUGAUCUAGCAACACCGCGUGUGCGAAGAAGGCCUUUGGGUCGUAAAGCACUUUUUGGAAGGAAUAGGAAGGAAUGUACUUCCAGAAUAAGUCUCGGCUAACUACGUGCCAGCAGCCGCGGUAACACGUAGGAGGCGAACGUUAUCCGGAUUUACUGGGCGUAAAGCGCGUGUAGGUGGUACUGUAAGUAGGGCGUGAAAGCUCCUGGCUCAACUGGGAGAGGCCGUUCUAAACUACAGAACUAGAGGAUGGUAGAGGGAGGUGGAAUUCCAGGUGUAGCGGUGGAAUGCGCAGAUAUCUGGAGGAACACCGGUGGCGAAGGUGGCCUCCUGGACCAUUCCUGACACUCAGACGCGAAAGCUAGGGUAGCAAACGGG
rnacentral:rRNA from 1 species